UACGUAGGGUGCAAGCGUUAAUCGGAAUUACUGGGCGUAAAGCGUGCGCAGGCGGUUUUGUAAGUCUGUCGUGAAAUCCCCGGGCUUAACCUGGGAAUUGCGAUGGAGACUGCAAGGCUAGAAUCUGGCAGAGGGGGGUAGAAUUCCACGUGUAGCAGUGAAAUGCGUAGAGAUGUGGAGGAACACCGAUGGCGAAGGCAGCCCCCUGGGUCAAGAUUGACGCUCAUGCACGAAAGCGUGGGGAGCAAGCAGG
rnacentral:rRNA from 1 species